GCUAUCUCUCGGGGUGGUCAAUUGGUUGUUAUAUCUCCACUAAUAAGCAGAGAGGGGUAAAACUCUCAAAGUAAGUUAUGUGGGUCAAGGUAUGAUGAUUAAUUGGAGUUCUAGUUCAUUUACUUUGAGAAAAUUAGAGUGUUUAAAGCAGCCUCUUGGGGCACUGAAUACAUUAGCAUGGGAUAAUAAAAUAGGAUCUUCACAAUAUAUUUUAUUGGUUUAAAUUGGAUAUGAAGAUAAUGAUUAAUAGGGACAGUUGGGGGUAUUCAUAUUGGGUGGUUAGCGGUGAAAUGCUCGGAUCCAUUCAAGAUGAACUAAAGCGAAGGCAUUUACCAAGGAUGUUUUCAUUAAUCAAGAACGAAAGUUAAGGGAUCGAAGACGAUUAGAUACCGUCGUAGUCUUAACUAUAAACUAUGCCGACCAGGGAUAUGAGUUGUUAGGAAUAUACGAAAGUAUAUUCAAUUCUUCUUAUGGACCUUGUGAGAAAUCAUAAGUUUUGGGUUCU
rnacentral:rRNA from 1 species